CUGCGGACUGCUCAGUAACAGACAUAUAAUUUAAUCUUUACAGAAACGAGCGGAAUAAACUCAGGAAACAGAGUGCAAUACGUAAAAGACGAAUUUUUUAUUAUAAGAAAUACGUUUUUAGCUUGAACAAAGCGGUAAAGAAUAAGUUGUCAGCCUAUCAGUUAGUAAGUAGGGUAAGGGCCUAUUUAGACGAAGACGGGUACGGGGAAUUAGAGUUUGAUUCCGGAGAGGGAGCCUGAGAAAUAGCUACCAGGUCCAAGGACGGCAGCAGGCGCGAAAAUUACCGAAGCUCGAAUAGAGGCGGUAGUAAUGAGACGUAUUAAUAUAAAACAAGGGUAAAAAACUUGUUAGUAACUGGAGGUCAAGUCUGGUGCCAGCAGCCGCG
rnacentral:rRNA from 1 species